AAAAUUUUAACAUUGACAACAUAAAAACUGGGAAUGAAAUUUUAAAAAAGUAUAAUGAAGUAUCACCAAUUUAUAAAGAAAAUACAAUAUCAAAAAAUGAAGAAACAAAUGAAAACAAUAAAAACGAUUAUUUAGUUAAUCAAAAUACAGUAAAUAAAAAACCAUAUAUAGAUAAUACUAAACAUAUACAAGAAUGUAAUACGAAAAAAUUAAGUUGUGAUACCAUUACUACUACUACUACAGAAACUUAUAAUAAUAAUUAUGAACCUAUAUCAUUUACUAAUAAUUUUUUAAAAAGUAAGAAUACAAUAGAUAAUGACUUUGUAAAUAAUGAUAAUAAUGAUGAUACAUCCUGUACAGAAAGAAAUUUAGAAGAAGCUGUAAAUAGAAGAAAUAAAAUAAAACAAAUGGUUUUAGAAUAUAAUUCUUUAAAUUUAAGUUUAUGUAGUGAUAGUUUUGAAAAUUAUGAUCUAAGAAAAAAAACAUCUUUAUAUAAUUUGGAUUAUAAUUUUGAAAAAGAGGGUGUGAAUGAAAAAAAUGAAAUUGUUUAUAAAAAAAAAGAACCAGAAAGAAAUUAUUCAGGUGUAACUAAUAUUUUAGAUUACAAUGACGUAGACAACAAAAAAACAUAUUAUGAUAAUGACAUUAAUAAAAAUAGUUUUGAAGAAGAAGGAAAAGAAGAAAAAAAAGACUUUUAUAAUAAUAAUGUAAAUAAAAAUAAUGACAGCACAUCUGCUAAAAUAUUUAAUAAUAACAAUAGUCAUUAUUGUUAUAAUAAUAGUAGUAGUAAAGAUAUUAUACAACCACGAAUAAAUAAUAUAUCUUUAGAUAAUUCAUUGUUUAGUGAUAAUGAUGAUGAUAUAGACGAUUAUAAAAGUUUUAUAACAUUAGAUAGUAAUAGUAGUAUAUUUAAAACUAAACCGCUUAAAGUACCAGACAUUUCGUUUUUGAAUUCUGUUAGUCGAACUUAUAGUAGUAAGGACUUAUUAAAUAACGUGGGUGAAAAAAAUAGUACUAGCAAAAAUGGCAAAGGUAGUAAUGUUUUUAGUAGUAAUAAUGACAACAAAAACGAUAGCAACAAUAACAAUAGCAACAAUAACAAUAGCAACAAUAACAAUAGCAACAAUAACAAUAGCAACAAUAACGAUGACCGUUGUGGGUAUAUACAAAACCGAAUACUUUAUGAAAAGUUAGAAGGGUUAUCUUUUUAUUGUGAUGAUACCGGUACUGUUGACGACGAUAAUAAUAAUGACAAUAGUAAUAAUGACAAUAGUAAUAAUUACAAUAGUAAUAAUGACAAUAGUAAUAAUGACAAUAGUAAUAAUGACAAUAGUAAUAAUGACAAUAGUAAUAAUGACAAUAGUAGUAACAAUAAUAAUAACAACAACAACAGCAGUAAUAAUAAUAAUUACUUUAGUUUUAUCUCGGAACCAACUGAAGAAAAAAGCACCAUACCCAAAGUAGCAGAUUCCGGAGACCAUUAUGAUUAUUUGGAUAGUUCGUCUGUUCUACCUGAACAAAGUGAUUGUAGUGAGCAUACGUAUAAAGAGCUAACCAUAGAAAAGGAGUUAAUAAAUAAAAAAAAAAUUGAUGUGAAUAAUGAUAAUAAAAUCUGUAAUAAAUACAGUUACAAACGUAACAAUACAUAUAGGAAAGAUAAAACAAACGAAGAAAAUGAAGAUAGAUAUGAGCAUGUGUACAAAAAAGAUGAAGAUUCAAGAAUAAAUGAAAAUACUAGUUAUACAAAAAAUAAACUAUUACAAGAGGGGUUAAGUUUGUAUGACCUGGCAAGUGACCAAUCGAGAGAUGAACCGAGCGAUCACCCGCGUCACACACGUUUAGACUUAACUAAUAAAUUAAAUUUAUUAAAAAAAAAAUCGGACAUGUUUGAUAAUGUUGAAGAAGAAAAAGAGGAAGAGGAAUGGGAAGAGGAAGGGGAAGGAAAAGGGCUUAAACCCCCCUAUUUAAUAAAAAAAAAAUGUGCGAAUAAUCAUAGUAUAAAUUGUGAUUCUACCACUACUACUAAUACCACGAAUACUACUAAUACUAAAAGUGACAGUAUUCGUAGCAGUAACCACCAAAUUAAUAAUGACAUAACCUACUUUACAAACAUAAAUACUAAUGAAAAUUCAAAUAAACUAGAAGAAAAAAAUUACUUUUAUAAUAACAUAAAAAAAGAAAGUAACAUUAACACAAAUGAUAUAUUUUUAAAUAAAACUGAUGGUUUCAAUGCUAUUAAAGAAUUUCAACACGACAUUUUAAAUGAUCAGUCAUUAAAAAACGAACAAACGAAUGAACAAGUGCAAAAAAAAAAUAAAAUGAAUAGUAGUUUAAAUAGUUCAGAAUCGUAUGAUAAUGAAACUAUGUCUAAAGAUAAUGAGUAUAUAAAUAAAAUUGACAAAACAUAUAUCAAAAAAAUUGUUAAAAAUAAUAAAACAAGAAUAGAAAAAUUAUAUGUUAAUGAUUUGAGUCAAAGUAGUGCUGCUAGUGAAACCAGUACUACUGAUAUAUUUCAAAAUAACUCAAAUGAUAAUAUAGAAGAAAAUAAAAACAUAUUCUUACCAGUAAACAAAUUUAAGAACAGACUUUUUUCAGAAAAUGAAAAUGCAUAUUCUAUGAAUACAUCUAAUAAAGAACAGUUAGAAGAACAACAACAACCUAAAAUGAUUAAUUGUGUAUUCGACAGUUUUAGUGAAGAGUUUGACGAACCCAUUCCUGUACCUACACCUGCUGCUUCUCUUUUAUCUGAAUCAUUAUACUCAUCAAGAAAUAAAGAAAUUAUAAAUAAACAAACGGAGGGGGCAAGCAUAACAAAUAGUACACGUUCGGAUAAUGAACAAAUAGUUUUUACGUCAAAGGAAAAUAUACGCGAGGGGAUAACAACAAUGGAUAUAAUAAGUCAAAACGAAUUUUUACGAGGGGAACAUGAUGUGAACCUUACUAGCGACAGAGAUGGUAAUAAUCGUAUGAGUAGUUUGCCUAGCAGUAGUCUUAGUAGUAAUAACAAUAAUAGUGUGUGUAGCGAUGUCAGUAGUAAUGUCGGUAGUAAUGUCAGUAGUAAUGUCGGUAGUAAUGUAGGACAGUCCUAUGACCCUGCUAUAAGAAAUAAACAAAAAAACAGUAUCAAUGAUAUGUUAAAUGAAUAUAAUUUAAAUAAUAACAAAAGUGUGAGCAAUGUAAAUAUGAACUUGAGUUAUCAAAAUAAAAAUGUUACUGUGGACAAAACAUAUAUAGAUGUAUAUCAUACUGAUGAUAAAGUUAAAAAUAUGAAUAUUACACAUGAAUUGGUAAAAAGUGGUAUAACAUUUAUGAAGGACAAUAAUAAGAAAUACGAUGGUAAUAUAAACACUGAUGGAGCUACAUAUAAUAUGGAUACUAGCGUCAGCGGUUACAACUACAACGAAACAAGUAGUAAUAACAGUAGUAACUUAUGUUAUAAUUACAAAUCGCUUGAGAACAAAAAAAAACGAUUACAAAAAAUAGUAAACACGCUCGAAAUUAAAAAAGUGAAAAUGAACACAAAACAAGGGAUAUUUGAAAUAACUGAUGACGGUGAAGUGAUAUUUACUUUUUUAGGAAGGUCAGAAAUAAGAGAGUAUAAAAAUGUUAAAAAUAAUAAUUUUAAAAAUAUAGAUAUAUCAAAACCAAGAAAAUUGUUAUUUAUAAUUGAUGUGAGUGGAAUUAAUAUAAAAGUAAAAGAUGUUUUGAUAAAUCAAAUUUUAGAUUAUUAUAAUAUACUUGCAGAAGAGUUACCUAGAGCACAUACAAUAAGAUAUGAUUAUGCAUAUGAUGUAGUUGAAACUUUGAAAAAACAUACACCUAAAAUAACAUUAACAAAAAAAUGGCUAGGUACAUAUAAUUUAAUGAGUAAUGGAACUACUCCUGAUUUUAUUGCAACUUUAAAUAAUAAUAUAUUUAUUGAUAAAAUUGAAAUUAAGAAUAGUAAUGUAUCAUUUACUUUAAAAGAUAAAAAUGCGAUUAAUGUACAUAUUGAUGAUUUAAAUGCAGUUACCACAAAAUUUAAUAAAAGAUUGAUACAAAAUUCAAAUGAUAGAAAAGAACUAAAUAAAAAUACAAUGAAGAAUGUAACACAAAUAGAAAAACAAAACCCAUUUUUAAUUAAUUUAACACAGAAUAAGGUUUACGAUUAUAUUUAUGCCGAUUCCGAUGGUGAUGGUAAUACCUAUGAUGAUGUUGAUGCUGAUGUAAAUGCUAUUAUAAUGAGUUUAGAAACUUUACUAAAAAAAGCGGGAAUAUCUAUUGAUAGUAUUAUUCAAAAUUGGUGCACUACUUUACAAGCCUACUCACAGUGUUUAAAUUUGUUAACUAAAGGAAAUACUGAAUAUACUUUGAAACUAAAAAAGACGUUACCAUAUAUAACAGAACAAACUGAAGCUUAUAAAAGGGGUAUUUAUUUUUCCAUAUUUCCGCAAUCGAUUGAGGAAUGAGUGGGUGGUAAUCUUGUAAACAAGUAAUCAUCCAAACAGCCACCCAGACAGCCAAUCAAACAAACGAAUAAACAAACGAAUGGAAAAAAAAAUAAUUUUAUU
ensembl:lncRNA